rnacentral:rRNA from 1 species
UUAAGCGACUAAGCGUACACGGUGGAUGCCCUGGCAGUCAGAGGCGAUGAAGGACGUGCUAAUCUGCGAAAAGCGUCGGUAAGGUGAUAUGAACCGUUACAGCCGGCGAUGUCCGAAUGGGGAAACCCAGUGCAAUUCGUUGCACUAUCGUUAACUGAAUACAUAGGUUAACGAGGCGAACCGGGGGAACUGAAACAUCUAAGUACCCCGAGGAAAAGAAAUCAACCGAGAUUCCCCCAGUAGCGGCGAGCGAACGGGGAGCAGCCCAGAGUCUGAAUCAGCUUGUGUGUUAGUGGAACGGUCUGGAAAGUCCGACGGUACAGGGUGAUAGUCCCGUACACCAAAAUGCACAGGCUGUGAACUCGAAGAGUAGGGCGGGACACGUGGUAUCCUGUCUGAAUAUGGGGGGACCAUCCUCCAAGGCUAAAUACUCCUGACUGACCGAUAGUGAACCAGUACCGUGAGGGAAAGGCGAAAAGAACCCCGGCGAGGGGAGUGAAAAAGAACCUGAAACCGUGUACGUACAAGCAGUGGGAGCACCUUCGGGUGUGACUGCGUACCUUUUGUAUAAUGGGUCAGCGACUUAUAUUCUGUAGCAAGGUUAACCGUAUAGGGGAGCCGCAGGGAAACCGAGUCUUAACUGGGCGUUAAGUUGCAGGGUAUAGACCCGAAACCCGGUGAUCUAGCCAUGGGCAGGUUGAAGGUUGGGUAACACUAACUGGAGGACCGAACCGACUAAUGUUGAAAAAUUAGCGGAUGACUUGUGGCUGGGGGUGAAAGGCCAAUCAAACCGGGAGAUAGCUGGUUCUCCCCGAAAGCUAUUUAGGUAGCGCCUCGUGAACUCAUCUUCGGGGGUAGAGCACUGUUUCGGCUAGGGGGUCAUCCCGACUUACCAACCCGAUGCAAACUACGAAUACCGAAGAAUGUUAUCACGGGAGACACACGGCGGGUGCUAACGUCCGUCGUGAAGAGGGAAACAACCCAGACCGCCAGCUAAGGUCCCAAAGUCACAGUUAAGUGGGAAACGAUGUGGGAAGGCACAGACAGCCAGGAUGUUGGCUUAGAAGCAGCCAUCAUUUAAAGAAAGCGUAAUAGCUCACUGGUCGAGUCGGCCUGCGCGGAAGAUGUAACGGGGCUAAACUGUGCACCGAAGCUGCGGCAGCGACACUAUGUGUUGUUGGGUAGGGGAGCGUUCUGUAAGCCUGCGAAGGUGGCCUGUGAGGGUUGCUGGAGGUAUCAGAAGUGCGAAUGCUGACAUAAGUAACGAUAAUGCGGGUGAAAAGCCCGCACGCCGGAAGACCAAGGGUUCCUGUCCAACGUUAAUCGGGGCAGGGUGAGUCGACCCCUAAGGCGAGGCCGAAAGGCGUAGUCGAUGGGAAACAGGUUAAUAUUCCUGUACUUGGUGUUACUGCGAAGGGGGGACGGAGAAGGCUAUGUUAGCCGGGCGACGGUUGUCCCGGUUUAAGCAUGUAGGCGGAGGUUCCAGGUAAAUCCGGUACCUUUUUAACGCUGAGGUGUGAUGACGAGGCACUACGGUGCUGAAGUAACAAAUGCCCUGCUUCCAGGAAAAGCCUCUAAGCAUCAGGUAACAUUAAAUCGUACCCCAAACCGACACAGGUGGUCAGGUAGAGAAUACCAAGGCGCUUGAGAGAACUCGGGUGAAGGAACUAGGCAAAAUGGUGCCGUAACUUCGGGAGAAGGCACGCUGAUAUGUAGGUGAAGCCCCUGCGGGUGGAGCUGAAAUCAGUCGAAGAUACCAGCUGGCUGCAACUGUUUAUUAAAAACACAGCACUGUGCAAACACGAAAGUGGACGUAUACGGUGUGACGCCUGCCCGGUGCCGGAAGGUUAAUUGAUGGGGUUAUCCGUAAGGAGAAGCUCUUGAUCGAAGCCCCGGUAAACGGCGGCCGUAACUAUAACGGUCCUAAGGUAGCGAAAUUCCUUGUCGGGUAAGUUCCGACCUGCACGAAUGGCGUAAUGAUGGCCAGGCUGUCUCCACCCGAGACUCAGUGAAAUUGAACUCGCUGUGAAGAUGCAGUGUACCCGCGGCAAGACGGAAAGACCCCGUGAACCUUUACUAUAGCUUGACACUGAACAUUGAGCCUUGAUGUGUAGGAUAGGUGGGAGGCUUUGAAGCGUGGACGCCAGUCUGCGUGGAGCCAACCUUGAAAUACCACCCUUUAAUGUUUGAUGUUCUAACGUUGGCCCCUUAUCGGGGUUGCGGACAGUGUCUGGUGGGUAGUUUGACUGGGGCGGUCUCCUCCCAAAGAGUAACGGAGGAGCACGAAGGUUAGCUAAUCCUGGUCGGACAUCAGGAGGUUAGUGCAAUGGCAUAAGCUAGCUUGACUGCGAGCGUGACGGCGCGAGCAGGUGCGAAAGCAGGUCAUAGUGAUCCGGUGGUUCUGAAUGGAAGGGCCAUCGCUCAACGGAUAAAAGGUACUCCGGGGAUAACAGGCUGAUACCGCCCAAGAGUUCAUAUCGACGGCGGUGUUUGGCACCUCGAUGUCGGCUCAUCACAUCCUGGGGCUGAAGUAGGUCCCAAGGGUAUGGCUGUUCGCCAUUUAAAGUGGUACGCGAGCUGGGUUUAGAACGUCGUGAGACAGUUCGGUCCCUAUCUGCCGUGGGCGCUGGAGAAUUGAGGGGGGCUGCUCCUAGUACGAGAGGACCGGAGUGGACGCAUCACUGGUGUUCGGGUUGUCAUGCCAAUGGCAUUGCCCGGUAGCUAAAUGCGGAAGAGAUAAGUGCUGAAAGCAUCUAAGCACGAAACUUGCCCCGAGAUGAGUUCUCCCUGACUCCUUGAGAGUCCUGAAGGAACGUUAAAGACGAUGACGUUGAUAGGUCGGGUGUGUAAGCGUAGCGAUACGUUGAGCUAACCGAUACUAAUGAACCGUGAGGCUUAACCUU